CAACUACUCCCUCUGUCCCAAAUUUCUUGUCUUAGAUUUGUCUAGAUACAGAUGUAUCUAAUACUAAAAUGUGACUUGAUACAUCCGUAUCUAGACAAAUCUAAGACAAUAAUUUUGGGACGGAGGGAGUACUUU
rnacentral:pre_miRNA from 1 species